GAUGAACGCUAGCGGCAGGCCUAACACAUGCAAGUCGAGGGGCAUCAUGGCGUAGCAAUACGCUGAUGGCGACCGGCGCACGGGUGCGUAACGCGUAUGGAACCUACCCACCGCAGGGGGAUAACCCGCCGAAAGGCGGACUAAUACCCCAUGGUUCCCCGACCCUGCCUGGGGUUGGGGGUAAAGCCUACGGGCGGCGGUGGAUGGCCCUGCGUGCCAUUAGCUGGCUGGUGGGGUAACGGCCCACCAGGGCGACGAUGGCUAGGGGGUCUGAGAGGACGAUCCCCCACACUGGUACUGAGACACGGACCAGACUCCUACGGGAGGCAGCAGUGAGGAAUAUUGGUCAAUGGGGGCAACCCUGACGCAGCAACGCCGCGUGAGUGAGGAAGGUUUUCGGACCGUAAAGCUCUGUCGAGCGGGAAGAAAUGUAUCGUGGCUAAUAUCCAUGAUAUUUGACGGUACCGCUAAAGGAAGCACCGGCUAACUCCGUG
rnacentral:rRNA from 1 species